rnacentral:lncRNA from 1 species
ACCAACUCUUCCAAACCCAAUGCGCACCGCGGACGACCACAACGUAAGCGUCUACCACCGCUACCGAAGAGUGACCCGAAGGUGCUCAUCAGGCCACACCAACGCCUGCCACUCAAGAAUGUAACCAGUCAGACCCUGGCAAAAGCCGUCAUGGAGGCGUGCCAGGACAAAACCACCGAAUAUUUCAUUCUAAGAAUCAAGCCGGAUUCCAACAUGGCAGUGCUCUCCACCCCGAAUCAGGAUACGGCCAAGGUCAUGCCGGCCAUUAAAUCCUUGAACAUCAACGGACGACCGCACCCGGUCAAUGCGUGCGUUAUGGCAGGCGAAGACACGACGCGGGGAGUAAUCCACGGAAUUGAACCCCACACCCCUUCUGAUGUGCUGCGAUCGAAUAUACGUAUUCGAACCCAGGGGCUGGAGUUGAUCGACGCAAGAAUGCUGGGCGACUCACAAAGUGCUUUGCUAACGUUCUACGGCAGCCAAGUGCCAAGGUGUGUUUAUUACUUCGGAGGCGAAAAACUAUGCACCCCAUACCGAAAUGCGGUACCAUUCUGCCGUAUCUGUGGCAUCGUGGGACACCGCACCGACGUGUGUCCACAGCCCGACAUACAGGUGUGCCGCUCGUGCGGGGUGCGGGAGCCUGCCGAUGGGCACGCGUGCGCCCCCAAGUGCGCAAUUUGUGGGGGUGAUCACCCAACGGGUGACCGCACAUGUCCCA